UCCAACCUGGUUGAUCCUGCCAGUAGUCAUAUGCUUGUCUCAAAGAUUAAGCCAUGCAUGUCUAAGUAUAAGCACUUUAUACUGUGAAACUGCGAAUGGCUCAUUAAAUCAGUUAUCGUUUAUUUGAUAGUACCUUACUACAUGGAUACCUGUGGUAAUUCUAGAGCUAAUACAUGCUGAAAACCUGGACUUGGAAAGGGGUGUAUUAUGUACCUUACUACAUGAUACCUGUCGGUAAAUAGUACCUACUACAUGGAUACCUGUGGUAAUUCUAGAGCUAAUACAUGCUGAAAACCUUCCUUGGUGAAUCAUAAUAACUUAACGAAUCGCAUGGCCUUGCGCCGGCGAUGGUUCAUUCAAAUUUCUGCCCUAUCAACUUUCGAUGGUAGGAUAGUGGCCUACCAUGGUGGCAACGGGUAACGGGGAAUUAGGGUUCGAUUCCGGAGAGGGAGCCUGAGAAACGGCUACCACAUCCAAGGAAGGCAGCAGGCGCGCAAAUUACCCAAUCCCGACACGGGGAGGUAGUGACAAUAAAUACUGAUACGGGGCUCUUUUGGGUCUCGUAAUUGGAAUGAGUACAAUCUAAAUCCCUUA
rnacentral:rRNA from 1 species